rnacentral:lncRNA from 1 species
UUGGAAGUCAAUGAGCAGUUGCAACCAAACCAAUCACGUCCUCUCACGUAGACAAAGGAUUACAAUUCACAUGAUCGAUAUGUCUUUAUUUGUUUUUACCUUGAAUCCUUCAGGCAUUCUUGUUGGACAGCCAGCCCUGGGAAAGGCGCUUCUUGACUAAGUAGCUGGCCCAUGUGGGGAGAAGUUAGCUAAGCACCAAGGCAGAACCACAGCAACAGCGGGCUGGAGAGAGAGAGCCCAGACCACUGUGGAUGGAUUAUCACGGCCAGUUCCUCGGGAGGCCGAGAGGCUCUGAACUUGCGCAUCCUGGCUCGUCUGGUGGAUAUUUGGAAAAGCCUUCCAUACGCAUCAGUCCAUGUCUCUUGCCAUCGGAUGUGAUAAUGUAUUGUAACUUCCUUAAGUAUCGAUCCCAG